rnacentral:rRNA from 1 species
GAUCCUGGCUCAGGAUGAACGCUGGCGGCGUGCUUAACACAUGCAAGUCGAACGAAGCAUCACAGCAGAUUUCUUCGGAUUGAAGCGGUGAUGACUGAGUGGCGGACGGGUGAGUAACGCGUGGGUAACCUGCCUUUCACAGGGGGACAACAGCUGGAAACGGCUGCUAAUACCGCAUAACCCGCUAGGGCCGCAUGGCCCGGACGGAAAAGGAGCAAUCCGGUGAGAGAUGGACCCCG